rnacentral:snRNA from 1 species
UAUCUCUGGUUUCCCUUCAAAACACACAAAUCUUUCGCCUUUUGCUAAAGAUUUCCGUGGAGGGGAACACUCAAAUGAGUCUAACCAAAUUUUUGAUAUCCUACAUUAUAUGUAGGGC